rnacentral:misc_RNA from 1 species
GAUGAAGAACGUAGCAAAGUGCGAUAUGUACUGCGCUGUGCGCGAAAUGCGCAGUCAUUCUUCGAAUGCACAUUGUCCUGUCUGGCGAAUAGCCGGCAGGGCAUCUGCUUCAGGGUUGUUGAUUAUUUUUUGCGUUUGUUGUUGCCUCCGGGUCUCAGCACUUCGCUUUCUCGGGGGGUCACCACACGUGUGUCCCCCCGUAAUGUGUCCGGAUGCUCUUGCUUCUGUGGACUUGGGUGUAUGGCAGUCUGGUUCAUUGCUUGCAUUGUUCCUCGUAUUGCUUCUCCCUAUUAUUCAAUACCCGACCUGAAGUCAGGUGUGACUACCCGCUGAACUUAAGCAUAUCAAUAAGCGGAGGA